UGGGGAAUUUUGGACAAUGGGCGCAAGCCUGAUCCGGCCAUGCCGCGUGCAGGAUGAAGGCCUUCGGGUUGUAAACUGCUUUUGUACGGAACGAAACGGCCUUUUCUAAUAAAGAGGGCUAAUGACGGUACCGUAAGAAUAAGCACCGGCUAACUACGUGCCAG
rnacentral:rRNA from 1 species